rnacentral:rRNA from 1 species
AACGAACGCUGGCGGCACGCCUAACACAUGCAAGUCGAACGAAGCAUAAGAGCUUGCUCUUAUGACUGAGUGGCGCACGGGUGAGUAACACGUGGGAAUCUGCCUAUUGGUGGGGAAUAACUUUUGGAAACGAAAGCUAAUACCGCAUAAGCCCUGAGGGGGAAAGAUUUAUCGCCAAUAGAUGAGCCCGCGCUAGAUUAGCUAGUUGGUGAGGUAAGAGCUCACCAAGGCUACGAUCUAUAGCUGGUCUGAGAGGAUGGUCAGCCACACUGGGACUGAGACACGGCCCAGACUCCUACGGGAGGCAGCAGUGGGGAAUAUUGGACAAUGGGGGAAACCCUGAUCCAGCGAUGCCGCGUGAGUGAAGAAGGCCUUCGGGUUGUAAAGCUCUUUCAGAGGGGAUGAUGAUGACGGUACCCUCAGAAGAAGCACCGGCUAACUUCGUGCCAGCAGCCGCAGUAA